CGCUCCGUGGGUACGCGGUCCCGGCCUCGGGGGUGGGGGCCGAGCACAGGCACCCUUCUGGCAGCGGCGCGGGGUGUCUCGGGGCGGGGGCACCGCCGGCAUUUCGGCGGCCGCUCAGGUGGCGGUGGCGCAGUGGAAGGAGGUUGGCAGCAGAAUUUGGCAUGCAUUGAAGAAGUCUGGGAACUGGGCCUUCCAGUCAUCAUAAAGAAGUGAGCUUCAGCUUCCAAGAAGAGAAGAAAGUAAAGAGGUAUAAUUGGGUUUGCCCUGGAACCCUGACGGGAAAUGGAAAGGUGUACAUUCAGAAGGGAAUAGCUACGCUGGCUGUUGGCACUACGGAAAGCUGCAAGAUGCAGAUGGAGUUGUGCACCGUUCUCUUCCUUAUCCCACCAUGUGCAGGGCCACCACCUUGUCUGGAAAAGGAGCAACAAUUGCCAUGUCUGGAGAGAGAUUAAUAAUAAAGCUGUACUAGUGCUGCUGCAA